ACCCAUAAUCCAUCAUUCCCGCCAGCCCGAUCAUUUUUGUGUUUAUGCAACUUUUGUAUUUUCACCGAUCAGAGUAGUUGCAUAGUCACAAAAGUGAUUGGGAGGGUUGGGCUCUAACAUCUAUGCAAC
rnacentral:pre_miRNA from 15 species